CAAGAAUCGAUCAACAAGUCAUCUGAGCAUAUAAUCUAGAACUACCGUCGGCCAUGGCCGACAAUCCUACCCCUCAGGGUACACCGACCUCAAAGGUCAUCAAACGACGGAAGUCAAGAAGCAGACCAACCCAAUACAUAAUGCAACAACCGACCAACCAGGUCAACAGAUAUAAGAUAAAAGCACCGAUCAACUAGGUCAUCGAAACGAAGUACGAGAACCGACCAAUCAGGUCACCGAAACAAAGUACGAGAACCGACCAAUCAGGUCACCGAAACAAAGUACGAGAACCGACCAAUCAGGUCACCGGUAUCACAUAUGGAUAAACUACUCUACUCCUACACAUGAUACUAAGCAUAGAAACAUAUGAGUAGAGUAUAAUAGAAACAACGGGGAUGCAAGCUCAAUAUAUAAUACGAAAAUAGCAAUAGAAAAACAGGGAUAGAAGAAAUAUCACCGAGCGUGCACCACUGUACCGACUUCGGAUCGAAGUACCCACCUGUACAAAUGCUGCGCCUGUCUCCUCACUGAAAAAGAACAU
rnacentral:lncRNA from 1 species